UAAAAUCCGUUGGCUUUUUAGACCGUGAGGGUUCAAGUCCCUCUACCCCCA
rnacentral:tRNA from 2 species